CGCGGAAAAACUGAAAGCCAAGGCUUUGAGGGCUCCUCCCAAGACGCACAGGGGUAAAGCGUGGGGCACUUUUCAAAGCCAGGCACGCCAGAGAUUUUCACCGAACCGCUCUCCCCCAGCCUUCCCCCUUUCCCGAAGCUGUCACCCACGCGCAACCCGGGCGGGGAGCCCUAGUGUGAGUGGAGGAGGUGUUCGAGACUGCGGUGACCCCACCCUCUACAGCCACCUCUGGAGUGUCCUCCCAGCUCGGCUCGCUCUCUUCCCAGGAGAAAUUAGAAAAUCCGUCCAACGAUGCAGCCAGCCCACCCCGCCGCAGAGCUCGCCCACGCACGGGACAGCGGAGAGCAAGAGCCAGCAAGAGAGAGCACAAGCAGGGGGAGCAGCCAGCAGAGGGGGAAGCAGGGUCCCCACUGAGCAGGAAGCCAGAGACGUGGGGCUCGAUCCCAGGACCCCAGGAUCAUGACCCAAGCUGAAGGCAAACACUUAACCCACAGAGCCACCCAGACAUCCCAGUUUUGGAAUUCUACAUCUUUUGGAGUUCAGUAAGAUCUGGAGGCUGGAAGUCCACGAUCAAGGUGUCCACCGGCUACUGGGUUCUGGGGAAGCCCAGGGGCCCCCUUUGGGCCUGAAGAACAUCACCUCCCCACAUCGUCACGGGCUGCCUCUUUGCAUGACGAGAGCCGGUGAGCUCUGCUGUCUCCUCCUCUUCUUAUCAGGACUCCAGUCUUAUCUGAGGAGGCCCACACUUGUGCCCUCAUUAAACUUAAUUGCCUCAUAAAGGUCCCAUCUCUCCAUAGUCACACUGGGGGUCAGGGCUUUAGCACAGGCUAGGGGGACGGGGACACAACUCAGUUCCUAGCUGGGUCCUUCCCCCAGAGAGCUCAUAGUCUUGUGGUGGGAGAUAGCCCAAAACAACUGUGACUGAGUGAAGCCCUGGGGACGUGUGUGGAGCUGGAUGGCAUCUCUUUAGGGCCGAGGGAUCCCUGACGAUCAGUUCUGUGUAGCUGGGUUCUUGGUGCUCGGAGAGUUAGAGGAAAAGAGCCCAAGGUGGCCUCUGGGUAUUGGCCCCUGGGCUGUUUCUUUCUACAGGGAAGGCUGAGAGACCUGUCAGUUCAAAAGCCGUCCCACGUGAAACUCAAAUCUUCCCACAGCCCAUUAUAUUAAAAAUAGUCCAAACAAUGGGGGCGCCUGGGUGGCUCAGUGGUUAAAGCCUCUGCCUUGGGCUCAGGUCAUGAUCUCAGGGUCCUGGGAUCGAGCCCCACAUCGGCUCUCUGCUCAGCGGGGAGCCUGCUUCCUCUUCUCUCUGCCUGUCUCUCCAUCUACCUGUGAUCUCUCUCUCUCAAAUAAAUAAAUAAAAUCUUAAAAAAAAAAAGAGCCCAAACACACACAAGCUUAGGCAAUUAGAGACCUCCUGCUUUGCUUACCGCACGACACCCCCCACCCCCACCACCAUAUGCGGUUACUGAGAUAGGGCCUUGGUCAGGCCCCACACUGCCAGAGCCCCUUUAGAGUUCUCUGACCCAGAGGCUUCCCACUGGGCUCCUGAGCAACAUCACCGAGACCUGCACCUGCGAGUCCCUACCUGAUGGCCCUCUCCCCCAGGGCUUCCCUUGUCCUUCACCUUUUCUGGACAGUGACAGCCUGACCUCCCUGCUGUCUGGGUCUCCUGCCGUGAGGGAUGGGCCUUUCCUGCAACCCCAGCCAAGCCGUGCCCCACCGAAGCUUGGGUGUGCUCCUGCCAUCUCGAGGUCCUAUCUUCUUUCCUUGCGCAGGCCGAAUCCGCUGAACCCCCACAGAGAGAAGCCUACCAUCGGAGGCGGGACCUUUACUGUGUAACCAGAGACACAAAGUGGCAAAACGCCUUUUAUUUCCACCCCACACUCCCCACAUCCAUCUGGCUGACCUGGCCCUGGGUAGUCCCUCAGCGGAAAGCCCGCGUCUGGAAACGUGACAGAGCAGACCUGUGCCAGGAUCAAGAUGUGAGUCUGUGAACAUUCUAGCUCCCCCGGUCAGCAGAGGGAGUGCAAACCUCUUCCACAGCCUCCGGGAGCCCUUUACCUGCUCUCUGCCAAAGGCUGUGGCUACCGGAAGCUUCAGGACAUUUCCUUGUCCAGAUCUGGGAGCUGUAGAAUCCUCAAGCCUUGCUACCUCUGAUGGCCUCUCCCGGCUCAAUGACCGGCCCGGCUGCCAGCCUGCUUCUGGCCUUGGCCGCUUCACGUCAGGGCUCUCUGCCUCCUGUCGGCUCGAGCCGGCUGCUGGCCCUGCCAGGGGUCCUCUGGGAUUUGUCUCUCUCAGCCGAGCUUCAUCCCAUGGCAGCCUGCUUGGCCCUCUUAGGUCUGGGUAUGGAAGAAUCAGACAGAAGGCUCCACGGUCACCCUGUCACUCUGCUCACUGAUCCUCCCUUUCUUACCCAAGAAGAAAUGAGGAAAUAUUUUCUGAAGACUUGCUCUGUGCAAAAUCUCAUGCUGAAAGCUUGGGAUCAUUGGAGCUGUCUAAGAUUGGUACCUGCUUCAAGCAACUUGCUUGAUGAAUAAAACCAGAUUCCAGCAAUGGUUCCAUCUGGGGCUCCAGCAAACACCUCGGAGGCAUCCCCCACAUGACUCUGCUUUGUCACCCAGGGCCUUCCCACAGCCUCGUUAGCCUCCCAGCCACCGCAGGGGCAGCCCUCAACGAAGGGGCCAGAGAGGGGCGAGAAGUGCCCCAGCUGCCACCUUGGGCAAUACAUACCUGCGAGGCUUUCUACACGGUUCCUCAGAGGCCCCCAGGUGGAAAGGGGACCCAGUGACCAGCAGUAGUGACCACCCCAUAGCACGUUCUCGCACUGGCUGCUCCUUGCUACUCUGCCCAUCCCCAGCUUCUUCCCUGAUCAGCUACCAAAUAACCUAACAACAGCCAAGUCCUCAUAGCGCGGGUCUCUCUCUCAGCUCUACCGUGAAGGGUUUGGUCUAAAUAUUCCUUCAGGACCCUUCCAGCUAGAAACACCUCGGUUUUUAAAGUUGUUUUUAUUUUUAAGAUUUUAUUUAUUUAUUUGAGAGAGAGAGAAUGAGAGAGCAUGAGAGGAGAGAGGGUCAGUGGGAGAAGCCAACUCCCUGCUGAGCAGGAAGCCCGAUGUGGGACUCGAUCUUGGGACUCUAGGAUCAUGACCUGAGCCGAAGGCAGUUGCUUAACCAACUGAGCCACCCAGGCGCCCCAGCACCCUGGUUUUUAGACAAGAAAAGGACAUCCCAUAUAGUCCCCCCAGAAGUCACGCUGCUGAUUAAUGACACACAGGGCAAGAACCCAACAUGAAACUGUCUCGUUAUGUCAGCUUUCCCAGAACCUCAUCUAUAAAGUCAUUUCAAAUAAAAGUCCCCCAUCACAAUGCUUGGAAAUAGUAAGUAAAGCCAGACUCUAUCCAAAACACACAUCUUAGAACUUUAGAGUUUAUAUCCAGGGGAAAUUUUUGACUCUAGAGCUCUCUCCAGCCAACCGCUUCUCCGGAGGCAUAAACAGAAUCACAUCUCUUUAUUGUGAUUUUUUCCUGUUAUCUCAGGGAUGUCCCUAUAUAGGACUCUAUUCUUUUUAUUAAAUGAAGUUCUCAUCUAUAUUCUGAUUCUGUUUGCCCAGUUUAUAUAAGGUAAUCAAAGUAUCAGAAGGAUGCUUUAUAAAAAGGAAAAUAAUCAUGCCUGUUUGUAAUUUAUGGAGUGUGUGUGCAUAAGUAUUCUUGAUGGAUUUACACCCAAAUGCUGUUAGCCCACGUAAGGUGUGGAUAUAGGCCACAGCAUGAUAGAAAUAGAGUGAAAAGAGCCUCAUGCUCUGUAUUGCCCCGACAGUAAGCCGGGAAGGGCAUCCUGGUUGAUUAAGAGUGCUCUGAUAAAUUGGGUCUUGGUAACAAAUCAUGAUGUUAUAUGAAGAAAAGUGCUGAGCCAAGAGACAGGAGACUUGGAGGGGGGUUUCUGUUCUACCAUUUCUAAAAUAAAGAAAACUAAAAUA